GAGAAUCCUCUCUCCCAGAUAAUGACACUCUCAGACAAGAGUCCAAGUUGUUUGAAAGGCUAUUUCUUGGCCAGAAGACUCUCAAUCCCUUCUUGA
rnacentral:pre_miRNA from 1 species